rnacentral:rRNA from 1 species
GAUGAACGCUGGCGGCGUGCCUAAUACAUGCAAGUCGAGCGAAGCGGGGACGGGUGAGUAACACGUAGAUAACCUCCUAUAAGACGGGGAUAACUUCGGGAAACCGUAGCUAAACCGGAUACUUAUCGCGGGAUCCGGGCUGCAUUAGCUAGUUGGUAAGAUAACGGCUUACAAGGGCAAAGAGGCAUAGCCGACCUGAGAGGGUGAUCGGCAAAACUGGAACUGAGACACGGUCCAGACUCCUACGGGAGGCAGCAGUAGGGAAUCUUCCGCAAUGGGCGAAAGCCUGACGGAGCAACGCCGCGUGAGUGAAGAAGGUCUUCGGAUCGUAAAACUCUGUGAUUAGGGAGGCGGUACCUAAUCAGUAAGCCACGGCUAACUACGUGCCAGCAGCCGCGGUAAUAC